AGCGAACGCUGGCGGCAUGCUUAACACAUGCAAGUCGCGCGGGUGGUUUCGGCCAUCAGCGGCGGACGGGCGGGUAUCGCGUAGGAAUGUAUCCCGAGGUGGGGGACAACCCUGGGAAACUGGGGCUAAUACCGCAUGGGGCCUGUGGGUCAAAGCCUUAGGGGGGCUUGGGAGCAGCCUGCGUCCGAUUAGGUAGUUGGUGGGGUAAAGGCCUACCAAGCCUGCGAUCGGUAGCUGGUCUGAGAGGACGAUCAGCCACACUGGGACUGAGACACGGCCCAGACUGGUACGGGAGGCAGCAGUGGGGAAUAUUGGACAAUGGGCGCAAGCCUGAUCCAGCAAUGCCGGGUGGGUGAAGAAGGUCUUCGGAUUGUAAAGCCCUUUCGGCGGGGACGAUGAUGACGGUACCCGCAGAAGAAGCCCCGGCUAACUUCGU
rnacentral:rRNA from 1 species